rnacentral:misc_RNA from 1 species
AUAAAAGCUAUGAAGAGAAGAGUAGUUAUGAGGGAAUACUCAGAGAGUUUCCAUUUGGUGUGAGGAAAUUAUGAAAUCAUAAUGAAACAAGUCUCGGAGCUGCAUACGGAUCUUAUAAAGUAAAACUUUUUUUAUUCUUUAGGAAAUUAUAUUCCAAUAAAAUCUGUGGAUAACUUAAAAAAGGUUGAUUGAUUA